rnacentral:lncRNA from 1 species
GCUACUUGGCUCUCUAUUAGUUCUCCUACAUCAGCUCUCUUAGUGACCCUUCUGUUAGCUGCAUCAUCAGCGCAGUUACCGAACAAUAAGGCCUUGGAAAGUACCCUGCUUCCCAAGACACCACUGAUUCAGUUGUGGUUCUCUCUGCUUUGCUCCCUUUUCUCAGGAGCAAGAAUCAGCUUCUUCUGCCUUUUCAAGUUUCAGAGUCUCACUGCUAAUUACAGCACUCAGUGAUUUGCACUCUCUGGACUACUGUUAUGUCUUUUAAGGAGGACUAGUAUUGCAAGACAACUAAAAAAAUGCCAAGGCAGAAGAAGAGGAUGUGCACAACUACCUAAACUGAUAGAGUACUGUCCAAAUGGAAAAGAUCCAUCACAGCAACAAGUCUUUGCACUUGGACAAGGCUCAGACAGGCAACUAUGAUUUCCGUACGGAUCAGACUCCUCCUUUCCCAGCUUCUGAGCUUGGACAAAAGAAUGUGCUUGCUCUAGCUGAUGGUGCCUGCAGGCUCCAGUUUGCAAAUUUCAGACUGAGACUUCAGAGAUCAGCUACCCACCAGCAUAAUUAUUAUGCUGAAAUGCAGCUUUACCCUAUGUUUUUCCACCUUAGCA